CAUAACAAACCAACUCAUAUAUAUUAUAUACUCUAUAGAUCCCAUCGUCUCUCAUUUUUCCACAACCAGAAACGACAUCCCUGGGCACUUGACACGUUCGAAAGAAUCAUAGAAGCUUCAAGAGGAAAAUAAAUCGUUAUGUGUCUCUGAUCCAGACAGAGCUUUCAUAUCCAGCAAGGUUCUUUAGGAUCCAACAUCUCCAACCUUUACUGUUUUCUCUUCUGUAACUAAUGUUAUGUGUUUCGCAGAUGAGAAGAAGUGAAAAAAACUAGCCAAGUAUUUUCCUAUUUCUAUAGUUACUGGUAGAUGCAUAGACAAUGUUUAUAGUUUUGUGAAGCUAGCAGAACUGUAUUAUGCUGGAAGCCAUGGGAUGGAUAUUAAAGGUCCAACAAAAGGAUAAACCAUCUGUUCUUAAUCAACCAGCUGGCGGCUCUCUUCCCAUGAUCGAUGAGGUUAUUAAACAAUUAGUGGAGAAAACCAAAUCAACACCAGGAGCCAAAUUGGAGAACAACAAGUUCUGUCUUUCUGUACACUUCCAUUGCGUCGAUGAAAAAGUAAAAAUUUACUUCAUAGUUACAAAAAGUUCCAAGUUAUGUAUAUUAUAAAGCUAGAGUAUCUCUCUAGAAGUU